GCGGGCCUGGCGGGUGGGGAAGCCUGGUGUCCGCCGGGGAAGUGACCGGGGCGACGCCUUCGCUCUCAGGCGAGCGUUGGUAAGGCGGGAAGGCCGUGUCCGGGGCGUUAGGGAGGCCCCGAGAAACCCGUGCGCCCCGAGGGAGGCAGCGCGACGACGGACAAAGGAGCGGCGCGUCCUCUCCCCAGCCCAGGGCGCCUCGGGAUGGACGUCCCGGGAGGGCCCGGUUUUCGUGCCUCCGAAUGGGACCGCGCAAGAGCUUCGGAGUGCGAGCGUAGGAGUGCGGGUGUAGACGUGUGUGAACGGCUUCUUACUCGCGCGCAGCCGGAGCUCCCCGGGAUGUAUUUUUACGGCAGGCUGGAACCCUAACCUAGCUGUGAAUGACGCGGCCCCUCGCCCUCCACUCCGCCCUGGAGCUCCAGCGCGGCGCCUUUCCGGGGCCAGCCGCGGGCUGUGGCCCAGGACGCGGCAGACCUGAAGCGCGUGCUCUGCGCCCAGCCCCAGGGUUCGAUCGUGAGCGGUGGGUGGCCAAAGCGCGCAGGGAGCAGAGCCCAGGCGCCCGCAGUGGGGACGCGGUGGGCCUCGGGGCCCUUCGCCGGCCUUCCCGGUGCGCCCCCGUGUUCCUGCCUCCGCAUCCCCGGCCCCAGAACACCACCCGAGCCCCCGCGUCAGGCUCGGCUUCUGAGGCCGCAGCGGAAUCCGGAGGCACCCGAAUCCCCCCAAACCCGGGGCCCGGCCUGGGGCAGCCCGGGCAGCCAGGUGGAGCAGAAACUUUCUCCUCCCUCGGCGAGGUCGGCGGUGGCCUUACGCCCGGCCCGGCGCUCUCCCCCUGCGCCCGCCGGCAGAUUGGAAGCGGCCCCGCCGCCGGCCGGGCUGGGGGCGAGGACCGGCGGCUCCCCGGGGACAGCGGCCCGCUCGGCUGCAAGCUGUCGGCAAGGCGGGGCCCCCAGGCCUUGGCUCCGCGGUGGGGCAGAGCCCGCGGUCGUUCAUUUCAGCUUGGUAGAUGGGGAGGGGAUCAUAAAUCAAGAGGAGCGAGGGGGGCUGCCCUGGCCCUUCCAGGCCAGCCCCCAGCUUGGCCCUUGCUCCUGCCCCGGGCACCUCUGGAGACCCCACUUCCCCCCCAAACGCCCACUCCUCCCUUGCUUCUCCGGGCCUGCCUGUGCCUCCCACCCUGGGAGGAUCUCAUCUUCCUGGGAGCACCCUGGGUCCCUGCUUAGGUCGACAGGACUCUCCUUCCCUCCGGCUGCUAGCAGUGGUUUCGCCCUGGGGCGAAGAUAGAUGGGGCAGACCCGGGAGAGCGUCAUCCUCCGCUCGCUCGUGGGAGCGCGCCUGCCCCGCCGCGCUGGGGCCUUUCCUGGCCUCUGGGUCCUGUGCGGGGGUUUGGAUCCCGGACCCAGAAAAGCGAAGCCUGAGAAGGCGCUGCAUGCUGCGGCCAGACCAGAGCUGUAGCAGGGAGUAGGGGCGGCCGGGAACCUCCCGCGGACCAGCGUGGGCCCGGCCACCCUAGCACCGGCUGGCUUCGCUGCACUUCUUGGGGCCCAAGAAUGUCCACGGUCAUUAGCAUGCUAUCAUUAGUAUUGAAUUACUGCCACUAUUGUGAUAUAAAACAUGCGAUGUGACUUAUCUCAUUUGAAGUUUGCCCUAAGGAUUGGCCCUCUCUCACUAACGUCGCUGUAUUCCUGUCUGGGGACUUCCAGCUCCACCAGGCGCCGCCUCCUCUCUCUUUCCAAUCUCUGGGUGGUUCUUGCAUCUCAGCCUGGCCACAGCCUGAGAGGCUUGUGUAGGCUCACCUGAGCGCUUGUUUACCUGAAGGAGCCCAGGAAUUGGCAUUUUCUUGAACAUGCCAGGGAGUCCUUGAUCCACCGCACCCUCUGGGAAGGAAGCCUGGUUGGACAUGGUGGGGUAUCCGGGCUUUGAGGUCCCCAGGAGCUGGAUGUGAACCUUGGCAAGUUGCCUAACCUCCCUGAGCUCUUGUUACACAGCAGGAGGCAGAUCUGUCUCCCCAGCCCAGCCCCACCGGCCUCCUGCCCUUAGCAGUUCUUGGCCCCUUCCCCGGGGGCUGGCUGAGGGGCAAGGGUGUGGGGGCCUAAAGGAAAGGAAAGGAAAUCAGUAUUAUCAGGGCACUUCUAGGCCCGGGUUCCCAGGACUACUCAGUCUUCACCAAGGGCCCAGAACUGCCCUCCCUCCCACAUCCAAGUCUCCUGUUCUGGACUCUCUUUGCAGGACCCCAGCCCCCACCCCAGCUGCCCACUUUCUCUUGAAAUCUCUUGCUUCAAAUUCCAGUCCCUGCCCGCUGAUCCUUUGAGAUUGCUUUCUUUUAAACCUUUAGCCUCUUGAUGGACCCAGAGCCCUAGAAGGUCCAAGACCACCCACCCACAGAGAGAGGACCACAAAGAAGGAGCCCUGUUGCUCUCCUCCAGGGCUGGGGCAGCAGGUUCCUGGAGAAGCCCUCAGAAGGCCCUGGCUGCUCCCGCUCUGGACAGCUCACCUCUGCUGUCCUGACCUCAGCCUUCCUUCCCUUUGGCACAAAGGCGUUAACAUGGUGAGGUGGGGAGGGGCAAGAGUGGCAGAGGCCAUGGUGUAGAAUCUGCGCCCUUCUUCUCCACCUGGGGGUCUUGGCUUGGGUCUGGCUGUGAGUCAGGGAUGGACGUGGGAGGGCCAACUCUCCUUGUCCCAGCCCCUCCUCUCUCUGCACUGAUACCCCUCAGCCCUGGACUUGGAGAAGGGGCUGGUUUUGAUGGUUUUGCUCACCUUGCUCAGCAGGCAGAGCCUCACAGAGACAUCUGCCCAAAGCCUUUUGAGAGUCAUCCUAGGUGGUCUCUGCUCCUGCAGCACAUGCCUGAGGCUGGGUGGUUAAGGACACAGUUAGACUUGAGUUAGAAUCCUAGCUCUAGAAUCCAGGGCUGGAACUAUGGUAAAGCAAAUGAGCUGUAAGAUGAAGAUGAUGUUGCCCACGUGACGUGGUCAGGAAUCUUCGGGUCCUGAACAGCAGUUAAGUUACGCAGUUCGCAGCAACUACGACUAGUAUCUGAAGCUUUGUCCUCCGGCAAGUUGGAGCCUGCAGACUUGUCUCUCCAGCCCUCUCUAGAAAAGUCAGCGCCCACCUGUGCCCAGGGCCUUCCACCAAAACCAGUUUUUCAGGUGGGGUGGGCAGAGGACUGGGAUGACGUAGGCCAGGGCUGGGCGCCGAUAUCUCUCUGUUCUGCAGACAGAUGGAUUGGGCAAGGAUUUGGACAAUUUAUGGGCUUCAAGGUCACACUGUUCUCAACCAUUUGUGUUUGUUUAACUAAAAACCCCAUGGAGCUCCUGGAACCAGGAAGAGAACAUAUUUUUUCUUUUCCUCC